rnacentral:rRNA from 1 species
GUGGGGAAUUGUUCGCAAUGGGCGCAAGCCUGACGACGCAACGCCGCGUGGAGGAUGAAGGUCUUCGGAUUGUAAACUCCUGUUGCUCGGGACGAAAAGCUCAGACCUAAUACGUCGGAGUCUGACGGUACCGAGUGAGGAAGCCCCGGCUAACUCUGUGCCAGCAGCCGCGGUAAUACAGAGGGGGCAAGCGUUGUUCGGAAUUACUGGGCGUAAAGGGCGCGUAGGCGGCCUGCUAAGUCGAACGUGAAAUCCCUGGGCUCAACCCAGGAACUGCGUCCGAUACUGGUUGGCUUGAAUCCGGGAGAGGGAUGUGGAAUUCCAGGUGUAGCGGUGAAAUGCGUAGAUAUCUGGAGGAACACCGGUGGCGAAGGCGACAUCCUGGACCGGCAUUGACGCUGAGGCGCGAAAGCCAGGGGAGCAAACGGGAUUAGAAACCCUUGUAGUCC